AAUUUACAGAGGAAAGUAACAGCAGACCCUGGAGACCUCAAUGUAACGGCAACCUUCCCAGAACCAUGGGUCGGUUUGAUGCCAACAAUAAUGUAAACCGGAGCCUGGAAAGGAGCCAGCCCUUGCAGACAGUGAACCACCCACAUAACAUCCCUGCACAUAUGUCCCUAAGAAAUGGUGAGGGGAA